AAGAAAAUGGCAGAGUGGUAUGCGUUUGACUUGAAAUCAAAUUACGGAGGUUCAAUUCCUUCUUUUCUCG
rnacentral:tRNA from 1 species